rnacentral:lncRNA from 1 species
CUAGCCCGGUCUUCAGGGCCGCGAGAUCCGCGGGUCCGGCGCCCGCCCGACCCGACGAGGGGAGGAGGAGCUGUGCAAGACGGGAAAACUCGGGAGCCGCUAGGAAGAGGAGUGUAAAGCUUUGAGCUGUGGGAAUAGGAGGAUGGCUGUGGACGGCCGAGCGCUCGCGAGGCGAGACAGAGACCAGAUGUCAAGCCGACUUCAUCCGACAACCACCAUCCUUGACCACUCCUUGCUUCACAUUGUCUUCAUCACAUGACUGCUGGUGUCUCGCUGAGAAGAAACUGUUGGCAGUUAUUUCAAGGCAUAUGUGGAGAAUGAUAUUCAUUACCAUCAACACAGAAGAGGCAUAGAAAAUUCACCAUCUAUCCAACUGGCUGUCUUGGGACCAGAAUUCCGAGCUCAGAAUUCUAUGGCAGGGCUAUUCCCAAGACACCUGAUGGACAUCAUGGACUGGAAGUUUGUACCUUGGAUCCAUUGCUAAUUGUAAGAAAUAUUUGACUCCUACUAUUGGUUUAGUUAAAGGUAAUCAGUUCUACCUUGCACCUCAGCAUUGGUUGUGGUUUUCUGGAGCUCUGUGUUGAAGAUUUUGAGACUGAGUGAACUCUGUCAGCAGGUGCUAG